AAAUUGAUUUUAAUUAACUCUCUUUUUCUUUUUUCUUUACCUUUUUUUAGAAUUUAGUUUUAAGUUUUAAUUAAGUUUUAUUUUUAAUUUUUAAAUUUAUCUACAACACCACAACAAAGAAAACCCUAAAACUAAAAUGCUGAAAUUUGAAAGUCUUAAGACUAAAAAUCCUAAUAUUUUUUUUAUGUUUUUUUAUUAAUUAUUUAAAUAAUAAUUCAA
rnacentral:lncRNA from 1 species